rnacentral:rRNA from 2 species
CUUUAGUUUGAAACCCCGAAACCAGGUGAGCUACCCCGAGACAGCCUAUUUACUUAGGGCUAACCCGUCUCUGUGGCAAAAGAGUGGGAAGAGCUCCGGGUAGAAGUGACAGACCUACCGAACCUGGUGAUAGCUGGUUGUCUGAGAGAUGGAUAGAAGUUCAGCCCUAUUACGCCCCCGACCAAAACACACCGCUCAAGGUGCAAGGGAAAUAUUUAGGAGUUAGUUAGAGGGGGUACAGCCCCUCUAACAAAGGAUACAACCUUAUAAAGGAGAAUAAAGAUCAUAAUCUACAAGACAUACUGUUCUAGUGGGCCUAAAAGCAGCCACCUAAACAGAAAGCGUUAAAGCUCAGACAGAAAGAAGUUUAUUAUAAUGAUAACAAAUCUUAUUUCCCUAAUAAUAUCAGACCACCCCAUGCCCGCAUGGAAGAAAUUAUGCUAAAAUGAGUAACAAGAAGACUUGCUCUUCUCCAAGCACAAGUGUAAGCCAGAUCGGACAAGCCGCUGGAAAUUAACGAACUCAACCAAAAGAGAGUACUGCGGAUAAUAAAAAAACCAAGAAAACCCCGCAACCAGGCAUCGUUAACCCCACACUGGAAUGCUAUAAUAAAGGAAAGACUAAAAGAAAGGGAAGGAACUCGGCAAACACAAGCCUCGCCUGUUUACCAAAAACAUCGCCUCCUGCAACUAAACCAAGUAUAGGAGGUCCAGCCUGCCCAGUGACUAAGGGUUCAACGGCCGCGGUAUUUUGACCGUGCAAAGGUAGCGCAAUCACUUGUCUUUUAAAUAGAGACCUGUAUGAAUGGCUAAACGAGGGCUUAACUGUCUCCCCCUUCGGGUCAGUGAAAUUGAUCUAUCCGUGCAGAAGCGGAUAUAAUUAUACAAGACGAGAAGACCCUUUGGAGCUUAAGGUACAAAACUUAACCACGUCAAACAACUUAAUCAAAAAGCAAGAACUUAGUGGGCCAUAAGACUUUACCUUCGGUUGGGGCGACCGCGGAGGAAAACCCAGCCUCCGAGUGGAAUGGGCCAAACCCCCUAAAACUAAGAGAAACAUCUCUAAGCCGCAGAACAUCUGACCAAAAAUGAUCCGGCUAAAGUCGAUCAACGAACCAAGUUACCCUAGGGAUAACAGCGCAAUCCUCUCCCAGAGUCCAUAUCGACGAGGGGGUUUACGACCUCGAUGUUGGAUCAGGACAUCCUAAUGGUGCAGCCG